GAUGAACGCUGGCGGCGUGCCUAAUACAUGCAAGUCGAGCGAACCGACGAGGAGCUUGCUCCUUUGACGUUAGCGGCGGACGGGUGAGUAACACGUAGGUAACCUACCUAUAAGACUGGGAUAACUUCGGGAAACCGGAGCUAAUACCGGAUAAUAUUUCGAACCGCAUGGUUCGAUAGUGAAAGAUGGCUUUGCUAUCACUUAUAGAUGGACCUGCGCCGUAUUAGCUAGUUGGUAAGGUAACGGCUUACCAAGGCAACGAUACGUAGCCGACCUGAGAGGGUGAUCGGCCACACUGGAACUGAGACACGGUCCAGACUCCUACGGGAGGCAGCAGUAGGGAAUCUUCCGCAAUGGGCGAAAGCCUGACGGAGCAACGCCGCGUGAGUGAUGAAGGUCUUCGGAUCGUAAAACUCUGUUAUUAGGGAAGAACAAACGUGUAAGUAACUGUGCACGUCUUGACGGUACCUAAUCAGAAAGCCACGGCUAACUACGUG
rnacentral:rRNA from 1 species